AUGACUCUGCUCCGCUCCCAGGGCAUCGUGGAGGUGGUCAUGUGGGAUCCUCUCGAACAGCUCGUGCUCACUGUCGACUUCGAUGGCAGGGUCACCCGCUCCAUCGGCCCCCUCUCCAAAGGGAUGUACUACUUGGAUUUCCUCCCCUACAUCAACUCAUACACAUAG
rnacentral:rRNA from 1 species